GAUGAACGCUGGCGGCGUGCCUAAUACAUGCAAGUCGAGCGAACAGACGAGGAGCUUGCUCCUCUGACGUUAGCGGCGGACGUGUGUGUAACACGUGGAUAACCUACCUAUAAGACUGGGAUAACUUCGGGAAACCGGAGCUAAUCGCGGAUAAUAUAUUGAACCGCAUGGUUCAAUAGUGAAAGACGGUUUUGCUGUCAGGUAUAGCUGCAUCCGGGCCGCAUUAGCUAGUUGGGAGGUUAACGGCUUGCCAAGGCAAUGAUGCGUACCCGACCUGAGAGGGGGGACGCCAACCCAGGAAGUGACCCGCGACCCAGACACUUAGGGAAGGCAGAGGCCGCGAAUCUUCGGAAAUGGGCGAAAGCCUGCAGGAUCAACGGAGCGUGGGUGCUGAAGGGCUUCGGAUCGUAAAACUCUCUUCUAGGGAAGAACAACUGUGUAAGUAACUAUGCCCGUCUUGACGGUAACUAAUAAGAAAGCCACGGCUAACUACGUG
rnacentral:rRNA from 1 species